UGGUAGUGUAUUGGACAACCAUGGCAGUCACGGGUAACGGAGAAUUAGGGUUCGAUUCCGGAGAGGGAGCCUGAGAAACGGCUACCACAUCUAAGGAAGGCAGCAGGCGCGUAAAUUACCCAAUCCCGAUUCGGGGAGGUAGUGACAAGAAAUAGCAACUCGUGCGGGUUUCCGUUACGGGAUUGCAAUGAGAUAAGUCCAAAUCCGUAAACGAUUAACAAUUGGAGGGCAAGUCUGGUGCCAGCAGCCGCGGUAAUUCCAGCUCCAAUAGCGUAUACUUAAGUUGUUGCAGUUAAAAAGCUCGUAGUUGAAAUUCGAGUCAGUUGCUAGUUGGCUUUUCGUCAGUUAGUUAAUUGAUUCUCCGUCUACAAUCCCUUUUGCGCUUUAGGGUUGCAGCUGGGCGAGUAGACAAUUUACCUUGAAAAAAUUAGAGUGUUCCAGGCAGGUCUUCGCCGGAAUACAUUAGCAUGGAAUAAUGGAAUAGGACUUGGGUCUUUUGUUGGUUUUAGGACUUGAGUAAUGAUUAAUAGGGACAGAUGGGGGCAUUAGUAUUUAAUUGUCAGAGGUGAAAUUCUUGGAUUUAUUAAAGACUAACUUAUGCGAAAGCAUUUGCCAAGGAUGUUUUCAUUAAUCAAGAACGAAAGUUAGGGGAUCAAAGACGAUUAGA
rnacentral:rRNA from 1 species